rnacentral:rRNA from 1 species
UAGCGGAGAAAUUCCAAUCGAACUCGGAGAUAGCUGGUUCUCCUCGAAAUAGCUUUAGGGCUAGCCUUGAGGUUAAGAUAUGUGGGGGUAGAGCACUGAAUGAGCUAGGGGCCUAACCAGGUUACCGAACUCUAUCAAACUACGAAUACCAUAUAUUAUACUCAGGAGUCAGACUGCGGGAGCUAAGUUCCGUGGUCAAAAGGGAAAGAGCCCAGAUCGUCAAUUAAGGUCCCAAAGAUAUAGCUAAGUGGAAAACGAUGUGAUUUUGCGUAAACAACCAGGAUGUUGGCUCAGAAGCAGCCAUACAUUUAAAGAGUGCGUAACAGCUCACUGGUCGAGUGAAGUUGCGCGGAAAAUUACCGGGGCUAAGCUAUACACCGAAAUUGCGGAUUUACACUUGAAAGACAGUGUAAGUGGUAGAGGAGCAUUCUGUUGUAGGACGAAGCAUGAUCGAGAGGACAUGUGGACGAAGCAGAAGAGAGAAUGCUGGAAUAAGUAGCGAGAGCAAGGUGAGAAUCCUUGCCGUCGAAAGUCUAAGGUUUCCUGGGGAAGGUUCGUCCGCCCAGGGUAAGUCGGGACCUAAGGAGAGGCCGAAAGGCGUAUCCGAUGGAUAGCAGGUUGAAAUUCCUGCACUACAGAUAUACUUAAAAGAUGCAAGGGACGCAGGAGUGGAAGAUAAGCGAGGAAGAGGAAAAACUCGUAUCGAAAGAUAUAGUGAAAAUUAUAAAGUAACGAAUUAUCAAGAAGCACACUGACGAGAAAAGCUUGUAGAUAUUGUAUAAAAGUACCCGUACCGCAAACCGACACAGGUAGAUGAGGAGAGGAUCCUAAGACGAACGGGAGAAGCAUUGUUAAGGAACUCGGCAAAUUGACCCCGUAACUUCGGAAUAAGGGGUGCCUAUGUAAAAGUAGGCCGCAGAGAAUAGGCCCAAGCAACUGUUUAACAAAAACACAGGUUUCUGCUAAAUCGAAAGAUGAAGUAUAGGAGCUGACGCCUGCCCAGUGCUGGAAGGUCAAGGGGAAGAGUUAGGGUUAAACCGAAGCUUAGAACCAAAGCCCCAGUGAACGGCGGCCGUAACUAUAACGGUCCUAAGGUAGCGAAAUUCCUUGUCAGGUAAGUUCUGACCCGCACGAAAGGCGUAAUGAUUUGGGCACUGUCUCGACAAUGUACCCGGCGAAAUUGUAGUACUAGUGAAGAUGCUAGUUACCUGCGACAAGACAGAAAGACCCCAUGGAGCUUUACUGCAGCUUGAUACUGGGUUUUGAUAAUUUAUGUACAGGAUAGGUGGGAGACUAUGAAAGUUAGGCGUCAGCUUAACUGGAGUCACCCUUGGGAUACCACCCUUAAGUUGUUGAAAUUCUAACUAGUGAUCGUAAACCGGUCAGAGGACAAUGUCAGGCGGGCAGUUUGACUGGGGCGGUCGCCUCCUAAAGAGUAACGGAGGCGCCCAAAGGUUUCCUCAGCGCGGACAGAAAUCGCGCAAAAGAGUGUAAAGGCAGAAGGAAGCUUAACUGAGAGACAGACAUGUCGACCAGAUACGAAAGUAGGGCUUAGUGAUCCGGCGGUAGUGAAUGGAAAUGCCGUCGCUCAACGGACAAAAGUUACCCUGGGGAUAACAGGCUUAUCUCCCCCAAGAGUUCACAUCGACGGGGAGGUUUGGCACCUCGAUGUCGGCUCAUCGCAUCCUGGAGCGGAAGUACGUUCCAAGGGUUGGGCUGUUCGCCCAUUAAAGCGGUACGCGAGCUGGGUUCAGAACGUCGUGAGACAGUUCGGUCC